rnacentral:tRNA from 1 species
GCUUUCGUGGUCUAACGGUAGCACACUCGGCGUAUAUUCGAGAGAUCCAGGGUUCGAAUCCCAACGAGGGCA